rfam:Desulfobacteraceae bacterium 4572_123 ex4572_123_scaffold_15161, whole genome shotgun sequence.
GGCGAUGUAGCUCAGAUGGUCAGAGCAUGCGGCUCAUAUCCGCAGUGUCCGGGGUUCAAUUCCCUGCAUCGCCA